rnacentral:rRNA from 1 species
AGUGAACGCUGGCGGUAGGCCUAACACAUGCAAGUCGAACGGCAGCACAGUAAGAGCUUGCUCCUACGGGUGGCGAGUGGCGGACGGGUGAGGAAUACAUCGGAAUCUACUUUUUCGUGGGGGAUAACGUAGGGAAACUUACGCUAAUACCGCAUACGACCUAUGGGUGAAAGCAGGGGAUCUUCGGACCUUGCGCGAUUGAAUGAGCCGAUGUCGGAUUAGCUAGUUGGCGGGGUAAAGGCCCACCAAGGCGACGAUCCGUAGCUGGUCUGAGAGGAUGAUCAGCCACACUGGAACUGAGACACGGUCCAGACUCCUACGGGAGGCAGCAGUGGGGAAUAUUGGACAAUGGGCGCAAGCCUGAUCCAGCCAUACCGCGUGGGUGAAGAAGGCCUUCGGGUUGUAAAGCCCUUUUGUUGGGAAAGAAAAGCAGCAGGUUAAUACCCCGCUGUUCUGACGGUACCCAAAGAAUAAGCACCGGCUAACUCCGUG